rnacentral:rRNA from 1 species
UACGUAGGGUGCAAGCGUUAAUCGGAAUUACUGGCGUAAAGACGUGCGCAGGCGGUGAUGUAAGACAGAUGUGAAAUCCCCGGGCUCAACCUGGGAACUGCAUUUGUGACUGCAUCGCUGGAGUGCGGCAGAGGGGGGAUGGAAUUCCGGCGUGUAGCAGUGAAAUGCGUAGAGAAUCGGGAGGAACACCAGUGGCGGAAGG